rnacentral:tRNA from 1 species
GCAUGGCUGACUCAGUCGGUAGGGCAUGUGACUCCUAAUCUCAGGGUUGUGAGUUCAAGCCGCACGUUGGGCA